rnacentral:misc_RNA from 1 species
GUUUUGGAGACCUGUGUACAGACUCUAUAGCCAGCCAUGGGAGACUCUCGCCCGAUCCAGAGUACCAGGGAUUAUAUCUACAGAACUAGAGAUCGAAUAGGACAGGGGGCGUUCUCCAAUGUCUACCGCGGUGUCCACAGGGAAUCCGGUGUACCGUACGCUAUCAAAGUUCCGAGAUCUUGUAACUCAGCGCAGGAAUUGGAGCGAGAGACCAUUGCACUAACUUCUUUAUGUCAUGAAAACAUAGUCCGGCUGUACGACAUUCAGAAUGAAAUCGGUUCCGGUAUGCCUGUGUUUGUGAUGGAGUUCUGUUCGCGAGGCUCGGUUCUGAGUCUCCUGGAGGACCCGGAAAACCAUAACGGUCUCCACGACCGGGAUAUCAUAGCACUCCUCUCCGACAUAGCUUCCGCAUUGAAGUAUCUGUGCUCCGUUGGCUUCGUCCACCGUGACAUCAAACCCGGAAAUAUACUGGUGUCUGAAACGGAAGUAGGAAGAAAUAUAUUCAAACUUAGUGACUUCGGGUCAUCAAAGUUCAUUCAAGAAACGGGAGAGUACGAGUCUUUGACAGGAACUGAGGAAUACUUGCAUCCCCACCUUUAUGAGCGGGCGUUUAUUGACCGGAAUUUAGGUGGAAAGUUUACGUCAGCGGCCGACCUGUGGAGCCUGGGAGCCACCCUGGCUCACGCCGUCCUUGGCGAGGUCCCCUUCCGGCCAUUCGAGGGAUCCCGCAAGAAUCGUAACGAGAUGUUCAAAAUGAUUUCACGAAAACACGACCAGGACAUAUACGGUCGCCAGAGUACCCCAAACGGAAAAAUAGUAUACUACAGAGAAAUACCCAGUCACUGUAACAUUUCAUUAGGAUUGAGGCAGCAUUUGGAGACGAUCAUUAGAGGUCUGUUGCGAGGGAACGCGUCACAAUGGACGCUGGACACCUACACGAGGGAGGCUGAUCACGUGAAGAAGUUGACCCCUCACACUGUCCUCCUGGCGGAGUCUCUGGCGUUCUGCCAAUUCUACGCCGAGCCAUACCAAACCAUUGAUAGGUUCCUGAAAGCGAUAUGUGGUAACUGGAUAUAAAGGCUGAUAUAAGCGACUGUACUUUUUAUGAUGGACGUUCGUUAGAAGAUAUUGUAAAAUCCUCAAACAGUGUGAACUCACUUCCGGUUACAUCGAAAGAGAGGCCACUUGUUGUGAUGUCAUCACCAGGCACUUCCUCAAUUCAGUUUAAUUUUAUAUCACCAUCUGUUGCUGUCUACCGUUCAUCCACCAGUGUAGCAGACGAUCGCCAUGUGGCCAAGAAACAGGUGACGUCAUCAUGGUCAUUCAGUAGGGAUGUAGAAGAAAUUCAAUUGGGCAUUGAUAUAAUUCGACAGACAAGCCAAUCUCAGGUAGAAAGACUGAUAAACACCCGUACUCUCUCCGAGUCUAAGCUUCACAGCUGUCACGAGGUUCACAGCGCAGACUCGGACCGUCUGAGUUUGAGUCAUAAGCUUCAGCUAGAUCCAAAAAUGGCCGACUACGUCACGGAGAGGAGACAAAGCGCCUCUUACAGAAAAAAGGAGAUAGGGAAGCUAAAGCAGGAGAUGACGUCAGACUGCAGCAUGCUGGGAGCUGCAAUAAAGAAUCUUCAGGACACGGUUUGUUGGAACACUUGCGAGUCUAAAAUAUGUUUAUUGAAAAAUAAAGUACGUGGUCAUUUUCGUGACUUAGAGAAGAUCUGGAAACAGGUGCGCGAAAGAAAGGCAGGAAAUGUCAGCGAGGGAGAAAAUGUAAUACGUCAGACAGAGAGGCUGCAGCUGGUGAACCUCUCCCAAAGCCUGGUCAAUGACUGGCAAUCAGUAUAUAUACCAAACAGAAACCAAUUCACAAACCACAUCAAGAGCUGGAUUAGGAACUAUUUUAAUUGUCAAGAGAAACUAAAAACGUUGGAAAGAAAGUUGACAGCUAUAGAAAAUAUACGACGAAAAUUUACUGAAGAUAUAACUUUUGUUUCCGCUUAUAGCCUAAAGUCUGAUUAUACACAAAGCAAAGCAAGUAAGAUGAUGUCAUCAGAGAUUCUCCAGGAACACAGAUUUAAUUCAGACAGGUUGAUAAAUCUUAUAUCAGACAUGCAAAACCUGACGGUACCGGAAGGGAUCCGUCCGGAAGCUGACGAUAUAGGAGACGAAACGUUUCUAUUUGGAUAAUUUAUACGUUGACAAACCGCGAUAGUGCCAAACUUCCUUAAUCGAAAUCGGUUGUGAUAUGAAAUCAACAAUUCUACAUUGUGAAAAACAAUAUAUAAUUAGAUCAACAUUCUACCUCAUCAUGCAUGUGCAAGGCUUGAGACAAUUACCUUCUUGGGUGAUCAUGCGGUUGGUGACACAUUUAAGAGUUUUGAGGACACUUGUAUGUUUUAAACAGGAAACGUUAAGAUUUAGCGGACUUUUUAAAUUAAUUAUUUUGUUUAAAUAACCACGCGAUUCAAUUAUUUCCACCUCAACCACCACGCGGGGACGACACCUACAGGAAACUAUCAGUGAGUGUGCUAUAGUGAGUAACUGGACUUCCCAGACAUUCAAGGAACCUUAAAGUCAUACAGACUGUUAUCUUGGGCGUGUGCAUCUAUAAAUUGCCCACUUUGAUAAUUUAUGCUUACGAUCAAGAAGUCUUCAAGUGAAUCUGACGCCUAUUCAGGGGUGUAAACUUAGUAACAG